GACCUGAUGGCACAACGGUGGUGCGUCUGCUUAAUGUACGGUCCGUCCUAGUUUGUCGAUAUGCAGAAGUUCCCGGUUCGAAUCCGGGUCAGGUCA